rnacentral:rRNA from 1 species
CCCAGUUCGGAUUGCAGGCUGCAACCCGCCUGCAUGAAGUUGGAAUCGCUAGUAAUCGCGGAUCAGCAUGCCGCGGUGAAUACGUUCCCGGGCCUUGUACACACCGCCCGUCACACCAUGAGAGUCGGGAACACCCGAAGUCCGUAGCCUGACCGCAAGGGGGCGCGGCCGAAGGUGGGUUCGAUAAUUGGGGUGAAGUCGUAACAAGGUACC